UACAGGGGGCGCGAGCGUUGCUCGGAAUCACUGGGCGUAAAGCGUACGCAGGCGGGUCGAUAAGUUCGUUGUGAAAUCCCGGGGCUCAACCUCGGAACUGCGAUGAAGACUGUCGAUCUUGAGUACGGGAGAGGAGAGCGGAAUUCCUGGUGUAGAGGUGAAAUUCGUAGAUAUCAGGGGGAACACCGGUGGCGAAGGCGGCCAUCUGGACGACAACUGACGCUGAGGCGCGAAAGCGUGGGGAGCAAACAGGG
rnacentral:rRNA from 1 species